UGCAGACAAUUUUGACAGUUAUGUGAUUGAGGGCUUUAAUGGAAUCUAAAACUUGUAUCUCAACUUUAUCUGCAGAAGACCUGCGGUUGCAUCUCCUGUCGACUAACAAACUGCCGGCUGGAAUUCCAGAAAAAUUGCUAGUUAUAGUUAAAGGCAAUUAUUCUCAACUGACAAGUCACUUGAAACUUUUUCAUGGCUUCCUUAAAACAACAGGUCAUAGUAACAGAACUUUGUAUUGUGGGAACGCUGACUGCAAGGCUGGCUUCAACAGUUUUGCUAAAUAUAGAGACCACGUUAUCAA